rnacentral:misc_RNA from 1 species
GAUGAAGAACGCAGCGAAAUGCGAUACGUAAUGUGAAUUGCAGAAUUCAGUGAAUCAUCGAGUCUUUGAACGCACAUUGCGCCCCCUGGUAUUCCGGGGGGCAUGCCUAUCCGAGCGUCAUUGCUGCCCUCAAGCACGGCUUGUGUGUUGGGCCUCCGUCCUCCUCCCGGGGGACGGGCCCGAAAGGCAGCGGCGGCACCGCGUCCGGUCCUCGAGCGUAUGGGGCUUCGUCACCCGCUCUUGUAGGCCCGGCCGGCGCUUGCCGACACAUCAAUCUUUUUUCCAGGUUGACCUCGGAUCAGGUAGGGAUACCCGCUGAACUUAAGCAUAUCAAUAAGCGAGGA